GGGUCUCUCUUUUGGAUUCUUCUAAAUCUCAAGAUCUUCUAUGAUUUUUAGCAUAAAAAAUUAGAUUAAAUUUAAUUUUUAUUAUAGAAAAUCAAAGAAGAAAAGUACCUCUCAAAGGUAUGAAAGGAAGAGAGAAAUGUUCUCUCUUAUGUGUGGAACAUUAAGAAGAAAGGUUUCUUCUCUUGAUCUCUAUUGUAAAGAUCAGAUGCAUGGAUCUAGAAAGAAAAAAGAAAGGGUCUCCUUAUUCUUUAUCUUCAUUAUGUUUUCUCUUAGAUCAGCCAAAGGAUGGUGCCUUCACGAGCUAGCACUCCCGGGAA
rnacentral:lncRNA from 1 species